UAGGGAAUCUUCCGCAAUGGACGCAAGUCUGACGGAGCAACGCCGCGUGAGUGAAGAAGGAUUUCGGUUCGUAAAACUCUGUUGUUAGAGAAGAACAGCGCAUAGAGUAACUGUUAUGCGUGUGACGGUAUCUAACCAGAAAGCCACGGCUAACUACGUGCCAGCAGCCGCGGUAAUACGUAGGUGGCAAGCGUUGUCCGGAUUUAUUGGGCGUAAAGCGCGCGUAGGCGGUUUUUUAAGUCUGAUGUGAAAGCCCACGGCUCAACCGUGGAGGGUCAUUGGAAACUGGAAAACUUGAGUGCAGAAGAGGAAAGUGGAAUUCCAUGUGUAGCGGUGAAAUGCGCAGAGAUAUGGAGGAACACCAGUGGCGAAGGCGACUUUCUGGUCUGUAACUGACGCUGAUGUGCGAAAGCGUGGGUAGCAAACAGG
rnacentral:rRNA from 1 species